rnacentral:lncRNA from 1 species
UUGAAAGUGUGAGUCUGCGUGUGCGUGUGUGGAUAAGUCAAGCCCUGACACUCACUCUGAGUCUGUGUCAACCUUCGCUUUGCCUUCUUCUUCUUCUUCCACAGCACCAGCGCGCUCCGACAUACCAUCCUAACGCCGAUGGCGAGACCAAGGCUAGAGAGAGAGUGCACUUAAACAAGGUGAAGGCUUCAUGGCGGCUCUCAUCCUCGGUUACUUUUGAGUGUGGAGUGUAGAAUUCGUGGUUACGUAGUCAUGUUCAUAAUGCGACCACCGGCUCGAGGUUCAGGGGUUUAGGGUUUGGUGUGCACUGCACUGAAAUCCGUGCGGACCUUUUUUGCUUGAAGUCUGUUUGCUGUGUACUUUGUAGGAUUCUAUUUACAUUCAA